UGUAGUGUUCUAAGAUAAAGCUUACAGAGACCUUCAGGAGGAAUUGAUAUGUGAAAUUUCAGACUGUCGUGUGGCAAUUUGAAUCAUUUUUGCUUUGCUCAUUUUCAGAGAGGGGAAAUAUUUGGAUUCUGUUGGUCAGGAAAGCAGUAAAUCAUGAUACAGACAGUUUUAGGCAACUUUGCGAUGAUUUAGGCGCGCAGUUUUCAUGAUGCUAAUUGCUAUUUGCUUCCAUUACUUGUUAGCUACAUUAACCUCGUAGCUCCAGUGCAAAGCUAAAGAAGCAAAGUUCAGACACCAAAUGCGUCUUUACAUAAGCAGGGAACCUGGGUAAAUUUGAUUUGUGGGUGAUUGUCGCUUUAAAUAUCCUAGCAGAGGGAGUGGCGGUGUGAAAGAAACAGCUACUGAAGUCCAGAGGGAUUUGCGGUCUGUGGUCACACAGGCAAAGGUGUCCUCAGCUUUUCACGGCUAGAGAAGAGCACUCUGGAACUGACUGAAAUGCAUUGCUUAGGCUACCACUCAUAGUCAGUCAGUCAGUGAUGCAUCUAGAACUUCCAGAAGGCCUAGAUUUAUUGCUACAAGAAAUUGGAUGUAACAGUUUAACAGCAGAAUGGAGGAAGACAUUCUACCACAGAAAGGCCCCAUUUAUGCUGUUCCACCAACAGAAUGGAAACUGACUUGGAGAAAUGAGGGGUGAGCAAGAAACCCGCAGUGGUAAUGCAUGUAUGGUUGGAGUCAAAUAUUACAGAAUGGACAGCAAAAUAGUUUAUUAAGGUGGGGUCAUCGUGGAUGCACCUUAUUGCUCCAUUGCCUCAGUGGCUCUGGCUCUUCCCUUGUUCGACUCUCCAGUGGUGGGCGUGGUGGUCGUCCUGGCCAGCCUCGUCUUAAGGCCACCCUGGACUUUGGGGGGAGGUACUGUCAUGCACCCCUCAGGCUCUGACACUUACUUGGACUCUAUCCCCCAGACUCCUCUGGGGAUCACAUGACUCCUGCAACCUUUGACCUGCCUUCACGCUCCAAUCACCCGUCUCCCUCUCCUGAAUACUGAUUUGGGUCACCUGUGUUGUAUGUCAAAUGACUAAUUAGCUUUAGUUUAUAAGCCUGGGCUUAGAAUAGGAUCAUUGCGAAGUACUGUAUCGUUUGUUGACCUACUGAGCAUUUUCUUUGUAUAUCUGCCUGAUUGUUAUUGACCUUUUUGCCUGUUCUCUGGUUACGUCUUUUGCUUUUCCCUUUGGAUUGUCUGCCUUUGGUGAUCUCUCCGUGUUCUGACCUUUUGGACAGUUUUCUGUACUUUGAUCUUUUGCCUCACCCUUUGGAUUGUUUGUUUAUUGUUAUGUUUGCUUUCUGCUUGGUUUUGACCCACACCUUCUUUGUGACUAUGAGCUUGGAUUAUGUCUUCAUUAGUAAAGUCUUUCUUGUUCAUUUUUA